GUCAGGUUGUUGGCUACAAAUGACCAACUCACGAUCCUUAAAAUUCUAGUUUAUUAGAUUGAAAUGUUGCGAUGAAAUCAAAUCAUAAAUCUUGGGGCUGAUUCACACUCAUACUCACAAGCUAGCUAUGAAUAUCUGAUCUGUGAAGCACCAGAGUCAAGUAUACCUAUCCCACAAGCGUUGGAGUCUGCUGUCGAUGGCUGAUUGAGUCUUCUUCCAACAUGGUGUUGUUUUCCAGAAGGGGAUCACUGGCUGGUCCUUCUAGCUGGACAGGUCAGGUGCUGGUCAAGUUGAUGAUCAAGAGGGUGCAUUUGAGGGUCACUCUUCACUGCCUUUUAUCUGUCCUUGGCAGACUUUGGUGACUUCCCAGUUUUCGAGCUUGCCCAAUCCAGGGGUCGUUGACCCUUGGGGGAUGUGCCCCUUGGUGGCUACUGGAUGGCAGCUUUUAACCCCGGGGUCAAAUCCAUGAGUAUGUACAGUUUGGGGAGUUCAUUGAUGAAUUUUGAUUAAUUUAUUGUUGUCAUGAAUAGGGCUCCGGGAGCGGUCUAUCUGGCAAUAUUCAGCCCCAAAAGUUGGUUUUGGGCUCCAAUUAAUUCAAACUAGAGCUUCUGUCCCUUUUUAAUACUGAAGGUUCAGGUAGUUCCCAGCUGCUACAUUGGCUAUUUGGUAGGUGUCAAGCUGGUUAACUUGUUACUGUAGCUAGCUACUGUGUUAUGCAUUCAAUUACUGAUCCACUCACUCAUUCAGGUCUGGCCUGAUACAGGGAGGCGGUCGUUCGAGUCCCACCCUUGCUAGCAUUGUUACAGGGUAAAGAGUAUAAAAUAUAAAAAUACAAGACUAUCAAAUAUAAAUGCCAUGGCACACAAAUAGAUAAAAAUAUCAAAAUAGAAUAAGGGGGGAUAUAAAUGCACACCUACAAAAUGUAGAACACCUGUGUAAGAAAAAUACCCAAAUAAUUCUAUAUCUUGUAGUAAGGGAGGGAAAAGAGAAGAGAGAUAUCCAAACAGGGGAAUUAUUGAUGGAAGGGGAGACUCCUUGUUACAGUGGGGGACAGGCAGGGAAAGAGGCUUCCUGCUACAGGGUUUGGGGGUGGGGGCUGCCACAUGUCCGCUGCCCCCAGCAGUGCACAGCCCACAGCUCUGGCAGCAGCAGCCUGCCAGACCAUCAGAGCUAUGGCUGGCUAUCAGCACAGCCCUGGGGCUGCACGUUACUGCUUCACCCUCAUGGAGAAUGGGCCCAGCUUAGCCCACCCCAUUGGCACACACCUUUUGGACAAGAGCCAUGGGUGGUGGCAGGAGGCAUCCUGGUCCUGUCCAAAUGUGAACUAGCAAAGCGGGCCGAGCUGGGUUGGGUUGGACUGGGCCUAUUCUAUGUGCACAGCUUGUGGAUGAGGCAGUGCUGCAGCAAGCACAGCCUAGCUGGCUGCUAGUGCUGGGUGUGUAAGGGUUUGUUGGGGGAGGGGUUGAGCAGGGGCCAUUACAUGCCUGCCCCCUCCCCUCUACCUGCACCCUGUGGCGCUGGCAGCAGCAGACAACUGGAUCAUGGCCCAGCUGCAGGCAUAGCCUGCAGUGGCACAGUGCUGCCUGAUAUGGGCUCUGUACAUGCUGAAUGGACCCAACCCAGCCUGGGCCGCCCCGCUAGCACAUGGCUUUCCCAGUCCUGUCCUAAGCCAUGUGCUAGUGGGCUGGGCCAGGCCCAUUCAGCAUGUACAGAGCCUACAUCAGGCAGUACCGUGCUGCUGAAGGGGGCAGCUGGGGGGCAGGUGUGUGGCAGCCCCUGCUCAAACCCCCACACAAACCCAUCCUUCCCACAUCUUCCCAUCACUCUUCACACCCCCCACCCCCAUGUCCCUGAUAACUUACCUGGGACAGCACCCAGGUCCUGGUCAUGCCUCAGCCUUGCCCCACUUCUGCUUACCCCAGCAUACUAAGGGAGUGUGCCCCAUGUACUGGAGCAGCAACAGCACCAUAGAGAUGCUCUGGCCAGAUACCAAAGCAUCUCUCUGGAGGACCCACCUCCAGGUUGCCUCAAGCAUUGGUCCUGGAUGCACCCUGAGAAUUUAUUCUAUUCUAGGAUUCCUUUGACCAAGAAUGCCCCAUCCCUGGCUCUCACAUGCUUUCCCUGAACUUUGUCUGUGAGCCAAAGUUCUGCCUUUAUUGUAGCUAGGGCUUGACCCAUUAAUGGCUUUGAAAAUUAGACCCUUGCAGAAGCCCCCUGUCCAUAUCUGAAAUCACUUUUAAGGCUUUGGUUCUAAGCACAUACUCAUGGCAGCCUAAGCCACAGCAAAGAUGAGUAGCCCCCUUCUCUACCAGCUGAAGGAAUGGGGGGUCUGUGCAAAGGCAAUGUCUAGGCUAGCUCCUCGGGUCAGUCUCACCCAGAUUAAAGUUCUCUUCCUCCUGCUAAAUAUGGUGUUCUUAGAACUCUAAAUAGCAUCCAACUAGGUGAUUUUUUUCUGUUUUGAAACAUCAACUUGCCUGAACUGGGCCCAUGCCAGAGCCCCAGGUGCAGAGUGCAAAGAAGCUUUGCAGCCUCCCAGGUCUGAGACUGGGAAACCCAAAGAAUUAGGAUCCUGUUUUCUAGGACAUCCAACCCCUGUCAGACAAAGAAGAAGGCAACCAAGCCUGGUGGCCACCUAGAGCACCAGACAGCACUGAGCAGAGGCUCACUCUGUAAAUACAUGUUUAUUACGAAAGGUGUUGGAUGUUAUGAUUCCUUUUAACUCCCCUGUUCCCCCCCCAUUCCACUUCUCCUAUAGUGGUUCUAGGAUGUGUGGUCCAAGAUCUCAUGCACCACAGUGCUGUGUGUACUCCAUAAUUUGCUGUAUGUGCUGACUGUAUGAGCUAUCUAGGAACUAGACCAGGAGUAUCCAACCUUUUUGAAUGUGGGGCUGGAUCAUGAACUUUUUAUCACCCAGUGGGCCGUCAAGCCAUAUUCAAACACCCUCUGUCCUGGGCCAGAGAAACCCUGCCUGUUACUGCAAGGUUCACAGUAGCUGCUAGUGGGCAGGGGCAGGAGGGACCCAUUCUGCAUCCAGCCAGCUACUGCCCCAGAGACUGAAGGGGAGAAAUAAAUAGCUCCACAUCUCCAUCCCUCGAGCAGCGCAGCCCCACGAGCCGGUGCUGCCUGAGGGAAGCUGGAGCGAAGCGGUCACUGCACUGUAGCCUCCUGCCCGCCCGCACAGCUCCGCUCACCAUGGUGCCUGGUGGCCUGCGCACGCAGCCCCGGUGGCCUCAGCGCUGCGAGCCCAGAGAGCGGGGUCUGGCAGACACCAGCUCCCACUGCCUUGCCCUGCAGAGGUCACGCCAGGACCCUGCCUGCCGAGGCCCCGCCCCCUGUGCUGGCUUCUCACGUGCUGCUGGGGAUGGGAAGAGGCCGGGUUGGCAUCAGCCAGCAGAGGCAGCAGCAGAGCUGUGUGCCACCUGGGACUGACCAGCGCAGGCCAUAUGUUGAACAAGCCUGAACUAGACUUACGAGACACUAGCAGUCUGUGCCAGAACUGCUUCCUUUAGUAUUCCACAGAGCCACACAUUCACAUGAUGCUUUUUACCAGCUCUAGAUCCCUGACAAAGAUAUUAUAAAAAAGAUCUGAUCUACAUUCCCUGUCACUGGUGCCAUGGAGAGGGGAUGAGAGAAAAGCUGUAUUCUUUUUUUUCACUCAUUGGUGGUUGUUGCAGGAAAGACAAGUUCUAGGUUUGGAGAUCAUCCUUGCCCAUUACAGAGAAUAGCUCUGUAUCUGUGAUUAUACUGAGAAACUCCGCUAGCUGGAAUCAGUGUUGGACUCAACACCGGGGUCAUGGCCACAAAGAUAGGAAGUUGCUGACAUAUUCCACAGUCCAAUUUUUUGUAGAUCAGAGCAAGGAUCAAUGAGUGACAUCCCUUCAGACAUUUGCCCCCAUGUCAGUGAUGAGGAACCACAUACAAUUUGUUUCUCUUGGGGACGAGGAGGGUUCAUGUAUCACUGUCCAGCCAGUGCUUUAGAGAAGCAAAGUGCUAUGGAAGAACCAAGCAAUGUUAGUUAUUAUUCAGUUGGUCUAAGAGGCCUUUGCUUUGACAAGACAGGAAGUUUAACACUACAGCACUGCUGUGUGUGUUUGGUGUGGGGAGGAGGCGGGGGCUAAUAUGCUGUAUCCUGUGGAUGGCACAGCUGUAGCACCUGUAGCGGGCAAACUAAAAGCCUUAGCAUAACUCAGUCAUGGUCCAGGCCUUCCCAGAGCUAAGCAACAAAAUUGAACAGAGUGCCUUCUGUGGCACUGGGAGAUGUGAGUGGUGUGAUUGGGCACUGGGCGAGCAAAGGGCAGCAGUUUCCCUAUAAGGAAUGUACCUGGCACAGUGCCAGAGGAUUGGUGCACCAUAUAAGGAAUGCUUGGCACAGAGCCAGAGGAUUGGACAAUUUGGGAUAAGUUACAGAAGUGAUGGACAAACAAAGGAACAUGUGUGUCUUCUGUGUUGCCACCCUGGAGAGACAGGAGCAGCCUUGGACUUCUUGUUUGAACAAUGAGGCAUCCAGAAACUAAUAUCCCACACACCUAGCAGAGGGUCUGAGGCCGGUACCACCAAAGGUCACUGCUGUAACGCCUGAAGGAACCGCUUGCCGGGUCGUAUUGCAAGGAAGAACACUUGUAAUAAACCUAGGGAUUACUAUUAAAAGUUCACUUGAUACUAAAUCAGACGAGGGGCCAUGUCAAUGCUUGGGGGUCUCUGGUAAAAGGAAUCCUAGAGGCACCUAGCAAACGAGAUGCCUCUCCCCAGUGUAACACAGUGUCAGUGCACAGGAAUCCAGAAGUUGCCACUGUCUAGGACAAUCUUUUCAGCGUCCUAGUGAGCUGGGACUGAUGUUAAUAACACGCCUUGUCUUUCAGCUGAGUCACUGUCUAACAGCUUCAUAAUAUAAAAUACCUGAGAUUCAGUGACCAAGGGAACCGACCACGAAACUGGAGACACAGCAAUGAGACUAGACUAAACAGUGCUGUGUUUCAAGGUUGUUGAUAUGUUACCCUAAAGGAAAAGCUCUCAAGUGACCCUGAGGGUCAAGCUUGUUUUGUUCUCAUCCGCACGGGGUUCCCUUUACUCCCAUGGACUGUCCUGGAAGGGAUUAUCAGAGCUAGGACCAUCAUGUCCUGGCAGUAGGCACCCAAAGAAGAAUACCCCUGCACUAGCCAGAUGUGCCUGUUCACUCCUGUUUGGCAUCGCCAAGUGAUUUUGGGGUGAUGUUUGGUCCAGUAAUUAAGGCAGCAGAGUGGAGAAUGCAUAGCCAGAUACCAGUGUUGGGGCUGGCCACUUAAAAUUAAUUUGGGUUUUUAAAAAUAAUUCCAGGUCACUCUUGAGACCUUUUGUCUAGAAAUGCAGCAGAGCAUGGUUAUCCCUACACCCUGCUUCCGGGACACUGUGCUGCACUGGGCAUGUUGACAUUGCAGUCACUACAAGUGUAGACCUACCUGAAUUAACUUCAAACCAACUAGCUCAGCUGCUGCUGCCAGUCCAGCUCCACCAGCAUGAAAGCUCAGUGUGGGCUAAUUGCUUAGAUAUUUAUCCAACUUCCUGGGUAGGUUGUGCAGUCUGUACUGAACUCUGGGCAGCUUUAGCUGCACUACUGGCAGUACUCUGCUCGGGUAUGUCUGCAAAAGCUUCCAUCUCAGCAGUGACUGCAGCACAGACAUACCCACAGUAGCCAACAUUAACAUACAUGCCCACAGUUUUGGAAGCAUGUCUCCUUGCCACUGGCUCACGUUGCUUUGCUCUGAGCUAAAGAACAUUAUGCUUGACCUUGGAGAAACAUUGCUGCAGGACUGUGGGAAUGACUAUAAAUUCCAAGGCUAAUGACCACCCUCCUCAGCAUUGAGUUACUACCAGUAGUAUAAACAUAGUUGUAAAAAAGGUGAAAGAAACAUUAGCAGCAACUGGAGCAGCAUAUUGAAGUAAAACAAAUAGAUCAUUAUUCUGCCCUAGAAUAUAAAUUGUUCACACUGGAAUAGCCUCACCAAAGCAACAAGCAGCACAGCAAGGUAAGAAAGGAAGCUUCAGGUACUGGGCUUAAACUGAGUAUUAAGGAUGUAUGUGUUGCAAUGAAAGGGCAAAGAGUGUGGCUCAAUGCAUUUCACUCUUUCUUCCCAGGAGAAUGAAAGACAAAGAUAAAGAAAUAAAAGGUUGCCAUGCCCUGGGGAAAAACCUGGAGGCAGAGCCGACAGUGAUGCCAUUGUUAGCAGUUGCCUGUGUGAAGUUCUAUAAGCUAUAAGUGAACACUGCUGCUUCAGAGAUAGGUAUUAACAGCAUCAGCUGAAAGUGUCAAUCUCUCCUGCCACGACUUUGAUGGGAGUAACUAAAGGGGGACAACACAAGAGAGGAGUGCUCCUUAGUUUUAAUAACAAGCAUCAGCAAUGCCCGCUCACAAGAACUGUAACUCAGCUAGCCACCAGCUGUCGGUCCCUCAGCCGGCUCUCCCUACAAGUUCCCGAUUCACUUCUCAGUCCUGCAAUGAAUACUCAUCAGGUGGGCAUUUGCAAGCCUGCCCCGUUUAUCAACUCACAGCAACAAAGUCCCUGUCGCGGAUCUGUACAGAGCUGCAAUCGUCCGGCUGAAUCAGCAGUCCAUCUUCCAAUGGGCCACAUACCCCAACACUCGCCGCUUCAACAAGAAAUUCUUGGUUAAUCUCUCUCUCAUCACCUGUGCCUCCAUGCAGGCUGCUUGCCAUCUCUGGUGUCUAAAACCUCGGCUCUUCUUCCCCUUUCAGGGAAGUGUUAAUAACACCGACAGUCCUUUAUACAAUGUUUCCACCCAGAUGUUGUCAAUCUCUGGUUGUUGGCUGCCAGCUGGGAAGACUUAAUUGGCAAAUAAGCCUUUUAUUAUUUCUUUCUGAUUAAACACCUCAUCGCUGUCAGCAAGUAAUGGAUACUUCACCAAAGUCCAUAGUGGGUAUUUAAUGUCCUGGGUGGGUGAACAGUCAAUAUGUUGCCCAGUUCCACAGGUCAAACAGGAAGUUCAACAAAAAUGGGUGCUUUGCCUGGACAUUACCGUAACAGGGGCAGUCUCUCCCUGUUACAAAAAGUAAACAUGAAUAAAAAAUAUGAGUUUCUAUUUUCAUGACAUAGGAGAGGUGUUGGAAAAGUCUCUGUACUAAGUCUCUACCAGUAUUUUUAUGCCUAUGAUACAGGAAACAAUUAUAAAGAUAAAAAGACAUAUUUUGCUACCUCUUGUUAGAAAGGAGUCAUUUGCAGUCCUAAAAAGACUAAGGUUUUUUUUUUAAGAUCCAGGCAAUAUUGACUAUGAUGUUUUGGGAGAAAUCUUUCUCACUGGACACCAAGACAUGUCAGUCUUUCUCCCCCUACUCCCCCUCCUGCCCCCUGAUCCCUCUCGUUCUGGUAAGUUUCUGUUUCCCCAUACAAACAGCCCUCCGAAUCUCCAAAUUGCCAAAUCUUUUCCGAAUCGAUUCUGAAGCUCCAAAUCGAUUCAGAAAGCCUAAAACAGCCAGAGAUUCGAUUCAGACAUGCUGAUUCAGCCUCCGAAUCGUCCGAAUCUAUUCUGAAUCUGAAUUGCGGUCUGAAGCUUUGCACAGCUCUACUUGUUUGGUCACUGCUAUGCAUUGGACCAACGUUUAUAGAUAACUGUCCAUGUUGACUCCAAGGUUCCUUUCCUGAGUCAUAGCUAGUUUUGAGCCCAGUAACUUAGCUAGUACUGUAAGAUUUAUUAAAAAGUAGAGGCUUGAAGAGCUUCCAGCUGCACGUUGGUGAAUUAUCUAGAACCAGCAAUUUAAAAAUGUGCACUUGUAAUGAAUUCCAAAAAAUAUAGUUCUUAGUAACUGCUGAAAAAUAAAGUAUUUCAUUAUUUUAUGAUGUAGAUACAUGACAUAUCUCAGGUCCAAUACAGAUGAGGAUGGAUACAAAGUAGGCAUGUUCUGACCCUUUGAAUGCUCCGGUGCAAAGAUAUGUUUGGACCCUUUGAAUGCUUUGCUGUGCAAAGAUGUUAUAUAGUAUAGCUUUCAGGGACCUACACUGACUCCUAUGUUCUAUAAAUGAAAUUUUUGGAUCAGACUUGAAUUUGGAACAGAAAUAUUGAAAACUUAUUUUCUCCAUUAUUACUGACAACUAUCACCUUAAUCUAAUAAAUCUAUACCACAGACUAGGAUUUUUUGUUGAACUGAUGUACUAAAAAAAGGGAAAAAAAAGUUUGUCCCAGUAACUUUUGCCCAUAAUUAUUUUUAGCUUUGGGAAUAUGGUGUCUUUAAAAGUGCUAAGCAUUCACUGCUGCAGAUAUGGUGGCUUUCCCACUUGGGAUGCCUAACAUAUUGCUGUGCAAAGCCUCAAACCUUUAGAUUCAUGUACUUUAAAAGCCUCUAGAUGAGUGGUGCUGAACAUUUCUGCCUGGCAGGAUGGAUGAGGUGUGCCAGAUCUAGGCUGGGACCCGAUCCCAGGGUAUGGUAAUGGCUUACCCAGGGCCUGGGCUCAAUUCUGCGGCAUGGGGCUGACCUGGUGAAAGCUGAUCCAGCCAUGUGGGGCCUGGAAAUUUGGCAGCAGGGGAGCCAUGGCAGUGUGAAUUGCCACUGCUCCCCUGUAGCAAAACCCCCAGUUAUUGUUGGUUUUUUUUAAUGCAUUCCCUCCCCUUCCCCAACCAUUUCUGACUUUCUCUCUGCUCUCUCUAUCCCUUAUAAAUGAUUUCAAGUAGUACUAGGUAAGCUAAGAUAAAUUCUUGUAUACUAUUAUUGUAAUAAGCCCCGUUCUUAUAUAUUGUAAAAAGUGUUCUGUUAUGUUUGUAUUGAUUUUUACUGUUUUAUAUUGUAUUAUAUUGUAUUCCUAUCAUUUGUGCAUUGAGUUUUAUUGUUUCAUAUUAACAUUGUACGAUUUAGGCCUGAAAUGUGGGUAGACAUGAGUGAUGUCAAGUAUCCAUUUUGUGUGUCAGGUUCCCAUCUUGUCCCCAUGCCCUGUUGUAUGUUGUAACCUAUGACUCAUUCCUACCCCUUCUAUCAGCAGCAGGAGCAUGGUGGUGGCAAACUUGGUUCCUGAAUGAAUGGGGAUGAAUGAGGGUGCUUGAGAGACAAUGGCAGUAGGUCUAAAAAUAGCUCCUUCUGAAUGACCGAACCAUCAAAACCAAUACCUGGACCAACAACCCAGCCAUUGGAACCACCCUCAGCAUUCAAGAAAAAGAUGAGGCAACCCACCAUUGUGCCAAGGCUGCACAUGCUUAGUAUGAACACCUGGAAUCCUCUGGAGCAGGACUGACAUUGCCUGGACAUGCCCUAUCCAUAGGAGAUCAUAGGUAGUCUGCCCCAUAAAAACGGGUAGUGAAGACCAACUCCUUGGGAUGCCCUCUCCAUCUGGACCAUGCCACACCACCUAUCCACCCAGAGGCCCUGCCGGCGACCCUCUCUGGACAACACCUGCUGGACAAAGACCCCUUUCCAGCUUGGAUAGGUAGCUAUCACCCCACCCUCUAUUCAACCAAGGACUUGGACUCUGUUUUUCUUCCCUACCUGGACUCCAACCCUUCCACUGAGUCUCUUUCUCCUGCUACCAUUGUAAGUAAGUGUGUGUGUGUGUGUGUGUGUGUGUGUGUGUGUGUGUGUGUGUGUGUGAGAGAACCAAUAACUUCAUGGGGCUGUGUAGUGUGUUGUCUGUUUAAUAAACCUGGUGUUUUGAAACCCCAA